rnacentral:misc_RNA from 1 species
GGAAGGAUCAUUAAUGAAACUUCAAAGUCGGCCAAAGGUUGUUGCUGGUGAUUAUUCACAUGUGCACGCCUUUGGUCGCAAAUCCACACACACCUGUGCAUCUAUGACUCGAGGUUGUAAUGACUGAGAGUAACUUUUAUACACUCUUGUAUGUAAUGGAAUGUCUUUUUGUGCUAUAAUGUACAAUAUAAACAACUUUCAACAACGGAUCUCUUGGCUCUCGCAUCGAUGAAGAACGCAGCGAAAUGCGAUAAGUAAUGUGAAUUGCAGAAUUCAGUGAAUCAUCGAAUCUUUGAACGCACCUUGCACCCUUUGGUAUUCCGAAGGGUACGCCCGUUUGAGUGUCAUUGUAAUCUCACUUCUACAACUUUAUUGUUGUUUGAAUGUGGACUUGGAUGUUGCCGUUUUAUCACGGCUCGUCUUAAAUGCCUGAGUGUACCCUGUUUUGCAGCGUAUCCAGUGUAAUAAACAUUUCACUAGAGUUGGUUGAAAGACCACGUUGACUAUAUGGGCUCUAUGCUUCAAACCGUCUGCCAUGUGGACAAUUUCUUGACAAUUUGACCUCAAAUCGGGUGGGACUACCCGCUGAACUUAAGCAUAUCAAUAAGCGGAGGAAAAGAAACUAACAAGGAUUCCCCUAGUAACGGCGAGUGAAGAGGGAAAAGCUCAAAUUUUAAAUCUGGUGUCUUUGACUCCCGAGUUGUAAUCUAGAGAAGUGUUUUCCGUGUCGGACCGUGUACAAGUUCCCUGGAACGGGGCGUCAUAGAGGGUGAGAAUCCCGUAUAUGCCACGGACUACCGAUGCUCUGUGAUACACUCUCAACGAGUCGAGUUGUUUGGGAAUGCAGCUCAAAAUGGGUGGUAAAUUCCAUCUAAAGCUAAAUAUUGGCGAGAGACCGAUAGCGAACAAGUACCGUGAGGGAAAGAUGAAAAGCACUUUGGAAAGAGAGUGAAACAGUACGUGAAAUUGUUGAAAGGGAAGCGUUUGAAGUCAGUCGCAUCUGUUGGGGUUCAGCCUGGCUUUUGCCUGGUGUAUUUCCUUUCCGAUGGGUCAGCAUCAGUUUCGACCGAGGGAAAAAGACAUUUGGAAUGUGGCUGUCUUCGGGCAGUGUUAUAGCCUUGUGUUGUAUGUCUCGGUUGGGACUGAGGAUUGCAGCGCGCCAUAAAUGGCCGGGGGUCGCUCCUCUCGACACGCGCUUAGGAUGCUGGCAUAAUGGCUUUAAGCGACCCGUCUUGAAACACGGACCAAGGAGUCUAACAUGUGCGCUAGUGUUUGGGUGUAAAACCCGAGCGCGUAAUGAAAGUGAAAGGUCGGGAUCAUUCAUUUGUGCACCGACGCCCGGAGCUGACCUUCUGUGACGCAUCCGCGGUAGAGCGUAUAUGUUGGGACCCGAAAGAUGGUGAACUAUGCCUGAAUAGGGUGAAGCCAGAGGAAACUCUGGUGGAGGCUCGUAGCGAUUCUGACGUGCAAAUCGAUCGUCAAAUUUGGGUAUAGGGGCGAAAGACUAAUCGAACCAUCUAGUAGCUGGUUCCUGC